rnacentral:rRNA from 1 species
GAUGAACGCUAGCGGCAGGCCUAAUACAUGCAAGUCGGACGGGAUUCAGGAGCUUGCUUCUGAUGAGAGUGGCGCACGGGUGCGUAACACGUAUGUAACCUACCUUUAUCAGGGGGAUAGCCUCUCGAAAGAGAGAUUAAGCCCGCAUAAAAUCACAGCACAGCAUUGUGUAAUGAUCAAAUAUUUAUAGGAUAAAGAUGGGCAUGCGGAACAUUAGCUAGAUGGCGGGGUAACGGCCCACCAUGGCGACGAUGUUUACGGGAUCUGAGAGGAUGGCCCCCCACACUGGUACUGAGACACGGACCAGACUCCUACGGGAGGCAGCAGUAAGGAAUAUUGGUCAAUGGGCGGAAGCCUGAACCAGCCAUGCCGCGUGCAGGAAGACGGCCCUACGGGUUGUAAACUGCUUUUAUACGGGAAUAAACCCAGAUACGUGUAUCUGGCUGAAUGUACUGUAAGAAUAAGGAUCGGCUAACUCCGUG